rnacentral:misc_RNA from 1 species
GACAGAGGGUGCAAGCGUUGUUCGGAAUCAUUGGGUGUAAAGCGCACGUAGGCGGCCAUGUAAGUCGGAUGUGAAAGCCCAGGGCUCAACUCUGGAAGUGCAUCCGAAACUGCUUGGCUUGAGUCCCGGAGAGGGUGGUGGAAUUCCCAGUGUAGGGGUGAAAUUCGUAGAUAUUGGGAGGAACACCGGUGGCGAAGGCGACCACCUGGACGGAGACUGACGCUGAGGUGCGAAAGCGUGGGGAGCAAACAGG